rnacentral:rRNA from 1 species
GAUUGUAACGCGUGGAUAACCUGCCUAUCUGACCGGGACAACACCUGGAAACGGGUGCUAAUACCGGAUACGCUCAUCUAGUCAAAAGAAUAGAUGAGGAAAAGGGGAAACCCGCAGACAGAUGGGUCCGCGUCCCAUUAGCUAGUUGGAGGUGUAAGAGACCCCCAAGGCGACGAUGGGUAGCCGGCCUGAGAGGGUGACCGGCCACACUGGAACUGAGACACGGUCCAGACUCCUACGGGAGGCAGCAGUGGGGAAUCUUCCGCAAUGGGCGCAAGCCUGACGGAGCAACGCCGCGUGAGUGAAGAAGGCCUUCGGGUUGUAAAACUCUGUCAUCAGGGAAGAAGAAAGUGACGGUACCUGAGGAGGAAGCCCCGGCUAACUACGUGCCAGCAGCCGCGGUAAAACGUAGGGGGCGAGCGUUGUCCGGAAUUACUGGGCGUAAAGGGCGCGUAGGCGGUUAUCCAAGUCAGGGGUGAAAACCUUGGGCUCAACUCAGGGCCUGCCUCUGAAACUGGGUAACUUGAGGGCAGGAGAGGGGAGUGGAAUUCCCAGUGUAGCGGUGAAAUGCGUAGAUAUUGGGAGGAACACCAGUGGCGAAGGCGGCUCUCUGGCCUAACCCUGACGCUGAGGCGCGAAAGCGUGGGGAUCAAACAGGAUUAGAUACCCUGGUAGUCCACGCCGUAAACGAUGGGUGCUGGGUGUAGGAGGUAUCGACCCCUUCUGUGCCGUAGUUAACACAAUAAGCACCCCGCCUGGGGAGUACGGCCGCAAGGUUGAAACUCAAAGGAAUCGACGGGGGCCCGCACAAGCGGUGGAGCAUGUGGUUUAAUUCGACGCAACGCGAAGAACCUUACCAGGGUUUGACAUCCUCUG